UUACUGCGAAGGGGGGACGGAGAAGGCUAUGUUAGCCGGGCGACGGUUGUCCCGGUUUAAGCAUGUAGGCUGGUUAUCCAGGCAAAUCCGGAUAAUCAAGGCUGAGGUGUGAUGACGAGGCACUACGGUGCUGAAGUAACAAAUGCCCUGCUUCCAGGAAAAGCCUCUAAGCAUCAGGUAACAUCAAAUCGUACCCCAAACCGACACAGGUGGUCAGGUAGAGAAUACCAAGGCGCUUGAGAGAACUCGGGUGAAGGAACUAGGCAAAAUGGUGCCGUAACUUCGGGAGAAGGCACGCUGGUGUGUAGGUGAAGUCCCUGCGGAUGGAGCUGAGACCAGUCGAAGAUACCAGCUGGCUGCAACUGUUUAUUAAAAACACAGCACUGUGCAAACACGAAAGUGGACGUAUACGGUGUGACGCCUGCCCGGUGCCGGAAGGUUAAUUGAUGGGGUUAUCCGUAAGGAGAAGCUCUUGAUCGAAGCCCCGGUAAACGGCGGCCGUAACUAUAACGGUCCUAAGGUAGCGAAAUUCCUUGUCGGGUAAGUUCCGACCUGCACGAAUGGCGUAAUGAUGGCCAGGCUGUCUCCACCCGAGACUCAGUGAAAUUGAACUCGCUGUGAAGAUGCAGUGUACCCGCGGCAAGACGGAAAGACCCCGUGAACCUUUACUAUAGCUUGACACUGAACAUUGAGCCUUGAUGUGUAGGAUAGGUGGGAGGCUUUGAAGCGUGGACGCCAGUCUGCGUGGAGCCAACCUUGAAAUACCACCCUUUAAUGUUUGAUGUUCUAACGUUGGCCCCUGACCGGGGUUGCGGACAGUGUCUGGUGGGUAGUUUGACUGGGGCGGUCUCCUCCCAAAGCGUAACGGAGGAGCACGAAGGUUAGCUAAUCCUGGUCGGACAUCAGGAGGUUAGUGCAAUGGCAUAAGCUAGCUUGACUGCGAGCGUGACGGCGCGAGCAGGUGCGAAAGCAGGUCAUAGUGAUCCGGUGGUUCUGAAUGGAAGGGCCAUCGCUCAACGGAUAAAAGGUACUCCGGGGAUAACAGGCUGAUACCGCCCAAGAGUUCAUAUCGACGGCGGUGUUUGGCACCUCGAUGUCGGCUCAUCACAUCCUGGGGCUGAAGUAGGUCCCAAGGGUAUGGCUGUUCGCCAUUUAAAGUGGUACGCGAGCUGGGUUUAGAACGUCGUGAGACAGUUCGGUCCCUAUCUGCCGUGGGCGCUGGAGAAUUGAGGGGGGCUGCUCCUAGUACGAGAGGACCGGAGUGGACGCAUCACUGGUGUUCGGGUUGUCAUGCCAAUGGCACUGCCCGGUAGCUAAAUGCGGAAGAGAUAAGUGCUGAAAGCAUCUAAGCACGAAACUUGCCCCGAGAUGAGUUCUCCCUGAGACUUUAAGUCUCCUGAAGGAACGUUGAAGACGACGACGUUGAUAGGCCGGGUGUGUAAGCGCAGCGAUGCGUUGAGCUAACCGGUACUAAUGAACCGUGAGGCUUAACCUU
rnacentral:rRNA from 1 species